AGAGCGAACGCUGGCGGCGUGCUUAACACAUGCAAGUCGAGUGCGCGCCCGUAGCAAUACGGGUGGCGCACGGCGCACGGGUGAGUAACACGUGGGCAAUCUGCCCUCGGAUGGGGGAUACCCCCGCGAAAGCGGGACUAAUACCGCAUAAAAUUCCCGAGACUUCGGUCUUGGGACUCAAAGGCCGCAAGGUCGUCUGAGGAGGAGCCCGCGCCCGAUUAGCUAGUUGGUGAGGUAACGGCUCACCAAGGCUUUGAUCGGUAGCCGGUCUGAGAGGAUGGCCGGCCACACUGGAACUGAGACACGGCCCAGACUCCUACGGGAGGCAGCAGUGGGGAAUAUUGGACAAUGGGCGCAAGCCUGAUCCAGCCAUGCCGCGUGGAUGAUGAAGGCCCUAGGGUUGUAAAGUCCUUUUAACGGGGAAGAUAAGUGACGGUACCCGUAGAAUAAGCCCGGCUAACUUCGUGCCAGCAGCCGC
rnacentral:rRNA from 1 species